CCUAAAUUGCAUUUUCAUGACUUUGACCUCAGUCAGCUUGGCUCUUCUUAAAUUAUAAAAGAAAACUGCAAGUUAAUCGGGGGAUGGGAGUGUGAUGCUGUACCAAGGCUUGUCUUCUAUAGAGACCAACAUUUUGGUCUCCUGUGAGAAGAACAUGCCCCAGGUAGCCUCUUCUUUGAGAAGCACAAGGAAACACAUGGUGGUGGAACUGAACACAACCCACAGCCUGGAGCUAAACCCAACCUAAGCCAGCCAAGCUCUUCCAAGAUCACCCAAACUCAAGUUGACCCGUAGAUCCAUGGGCAAGGAAAGAAAUGCCUGCUGUUUUAAGAUCUCAAGUUUUAGGUUGAUUUGUUAUGCAGCAUUAUUGCAGUAAAAAUGAACUAAUACACUACCUAAUCCCAUUUUUCUAUUCAACAGUUAUUUGUUGGGUAACUGAUAUGUGCCGCACACUUAUAAUACAGGCUUAAGGGAUACCAUGGUUAAUAAAAUAAA
rnacentral:lncRNA from 1 species